UUAGAGUUUGAUCCUGGCUCAAGACGAACGCUGGCGGCGCGCCUAACACAUGCAAGUCGAACGGAGUCAAGUGGAGCUUGCCUUUCUUGACUUAGUGGCGAACGGGUGAGUAACGCGUGAGUAACCUGCCCUGGAGUGGGGGACAACAGUUGGAAACGACUGCUAAUACCGCAUAACCCCACGGAUCCGCAUGGAUCUGAGGGAAAAGGAUUUAUUCGCUUCAGGAUGGACUCGCGUCCAAUUAGCUAGUUGGUGAGGUAACGGCCCACCAAGGCGACGAUUGGUAGCCGGACUGAGAGGUUGAACGGCCACAUUGGGACUGAGACACGGCCCAGACUCCUACGGGAGGCAGCAGUGGGGGAUAUUGCACAAUGGGGGAAACCCUGAUGCAGCGACGCCGCGUGGAGGAAGAAGGUUUUCGGAUUGUAAACUCCUGUCGUUAGGGACGAUAAUGACGGUACCUAACAAGAAAGCACCGGCUAACUACGUGCCAGCAGCCGCGGUAAAACGUAGGGUGCAAGCGUUGUCCGGAAUUACUGGGUGUAAAGGGAGCGCAGGCGGACCGGCAAGUUGGAAGUGAAAACUAUGGGCUCAACCCAUAAAUUGCUUUCAAAACUGCUGGCCUUGAGUAGUGCAGAGGUAGGUGGAAUUCCCGGUGUAGCGGUGGAAUGCGUAGAUAUCGGGAGGAACACCAGUGGCGAAGGCGACCUACUGGGCACCAACUGACGCUGAGGCUCGAAAGCAUGGGUAGCAAACAGGAUUAGAUACCCUGGUAGUCCAUGCCGUAAACGAUGAUUAAUAGGUGUUGGAGGAUUGCCCCCUUUCAGUGCCGCAGUUAACACAAUAAGUAAUCCACCUGGGGAGUACGACCGCAAGGUUGAAACUCAAAGGAAUUGACGGGGGCCCGCACAAGCAGUGGAGUAUGUGGUUUAAUUCGAAGCAACGCGAAGAACCUUACCAGGUCUUGACAUCCGAUGCAUAGUGCAGAGAUGCAUGAAGUCCUUCGGGACAUCGAGACAGGUGGUGCAUGGUUGUCGUCAGCUCGUGUCGUGAGAUGUUGGGUUAAGUCCCGCAACGAGCGCAACCCUUAUUGCCAGUUACUACGCAAGAGGACUCUGGCGAGACUGCCGUUGACAAAACGGAGGAAGGUGGGGAUGACGUCAAAUCAUCAUGCCCUUUAUGACCUGGGCUACACACGUACUACAAUGGCGUUUAACAAAGAGAAGCAAGACCGCGAGGUGGAGCAAAACUCAAAAACAACGUCUCAGUUCAGAUUGCAGGCUGCAACUCGCCUGCAUGAAGUCGGAAUUGCUAGUAAUCGCGGAUCAGCAUGCCGCGGUGAAUACGUUCCCGGGCCUUGCACUCACCGCCC
rnacentral:rRNA from 1 species